rnacentral:lncRNA from 1 species
UUGUAAUGGCAAGAUACAUAACUAACAAAUUGGAUUGCAUUUUGAGAGCUAAGUUUCUUUGACAUGGCUCGAUAGAGCUGAUAUUGUUUCCAUAGAUACAAAACUACAAAUCAGUGUAUCGCAAACCUCUUGAAAAGGCUGGAAUUGAGAAUCCAAAUAUCAUAUUCUUGGUACUAUAUAUGAAGCAAAUGUAUUGAUAAGAUUGACCCCUAAGCCGACUUUGAGGAGCAAGGGAAGGUAGGUCUCUGAAUGAACCACUGCUGCUUGCCUAUGGUGGAGAUGAACUCCAGGUGUGUCAUAUAAUUUCUGCAGAUGAUAGAAGGUUACUCCACUAAAUACUGAAAGGCCAUUGGUAAAAUACAGAUACCCUGGCAUACCCCUCCUCCUAAGAAAGCAUUGAUUUGAAUUGGACCCAAGGAAGUUCCAGGAACAGUAGAUUGUAUUGGUUUGUACUUUUGCGCUGAUGCAGCAACUGGAUCCUUUUCUGCCAUCAGUUAUGGUUAAAGCACUCAUAAAAGCUUAUUUCCCAACAUUUGCUACUAAGUAAACUUCCAGAAUUCCCACCAAGAAGCUCACCAUAACAUCCACGUCCCGU